GCUCUCGUGGUGUAGUGGUUAUCACGUCUGCUUUACACGCAGAAGGUCCCAGGUUCGAACCCCGGCGAGAGCA
rnacentral:tRNA from 1 species